AGGCAGCAGUAAGGAAUAUUGGUCAAUGGACGCAAGUCUGAACCAGCCAUGCCGCGUGAAGGAUGAAGGCCCUCUGGGUUGUAAACUUCUUUUAUCUGGGACGAAAAAGGGGCUUUCUAGCUCAACUGACGGUACCAGAGGAAUAAGCACCGGCUAACUCCGUGCCAGCAGCCGCGGUAAUACGGAGGGUGCAAGCGUUAUCCGGAUUUACUGGGUUUAAAGGGUGCGUAGGUGGGUAAGUAAGUCAGUGGUGAAAUCUUCAAGCUUAACUUGGAAACUGCCAUUGAUACUAUUUAUCUUGAAUACUCUGGAGGUAAGCGGAAUAUGUCAUGUAGCGGUGAAAUGCUUAGAUAUGACAUAGAACACCAAUUGCGAAGGCAGCUUACUACAUAGUUAUUGACACUGAGGCACGAAAGCGUGGGGAUCAAACAGGAUUAGAUACCCUGGUAG
rnacentral:rRNA from 1 species